GCGAUAUUGGUGAAGCUUGGUUAACACAGCGGUUUGUGGAUCCGUCACGCGCGGGUUCGAAUCCCGCAUAUCGCCCUA
rnacentral:tRNA from 1 species